rnacentral:rRNA from 1 species
AUACAGAGGUCCCGAGCGUUGUUCGGAUUCACUGGGCGUAAAGGGUGCGUAGGUGGUGAGGUAAGUCGGAUGUGAAAGCUCGGAGCUCAACUCCGAAAUGGCAUUGGAAACUACCUUGCUAGAGGGUUGGAAGGGGGACUGGAAUUCUCGGUGUAGCAGUGAAAUGCGUAGAUAUCGAGAGGAACACCAGUGGCGAAAGCGAGUCUCUGGACGACACCUGACACUGAGGCACGAAAGCUAGGGGAUC